rnacentral:rRNA from 1 species
AAUCAACGCUGGCGGCGUGCCUCAGACAUGCAAGUCGAACGCGAAAGUUCCCUUCGGGGGAGUGAGUAGAGUGGCGCACGGGUGAGUAACACGUAGGUAAUCUACCUUUGGAUGGGGAAUAACAACCGGAAACGGUUGCUAAUACCGCAUAAUGCAGCGGCACCUAAUGGUGACAGUUGUUAAAGACGGGGGAGUCGAAAGACCUCGCGUCUGAAGAGGAGCCUGCGGCGGAUUAGCAGUUGGUAAGGUAACGGCUUACCAAGGCGACGAUCCGUAGCCGGCCUGAGAGGGCGGUCGGCCACACUGACACUGACAUACGGGUCAGACUCCUACGGGAGGCAGCAGUCGGGAA